UGUUUGACCACAACUGUAGCCUCUGACACGUGUGUCCUCUAGGUGGUGACUGCCUUCAGUGAUAGUGUGGACAGCUUGUGUAAGAUGUGGGUUGUGGAAAGAACAGAAGUGGCCUCAGAGAAGCAGCUUCUCAAGGCCGCCAUCACACUGGGACUCUUUAUGAAGAAAAACUGCCCUGACAUGACGAAUGUAGUUGAGAGCGCUAUGAUGGGAUUCGUCAACAACCGUCUAACAUACUGGAUUGCAGAGCAAGGUGGCUGGGUCUCUGUCUCUAAGAACAGCAUGUGUUGAGAUUGAGCUCGUUGUCUCAUUCUCUGAGAGACCCUCAAUCAUUCCUCUGAAGUUUUGAUUUUUAAUGCAGGAUGAUCUGUAAAUGUCAGUCAGAUGCCAAGGUGCUGUUUUCAGACAAUCACAACCAGUAAAGUUUUUUAAUGUUUACAUUUUUACUCUAAUACAGAUAUUUGUGUUUGAGUAUUUCAACUGAUGCAGGAAUUCUCAACCAACAUUGCUUUUUUUAAAUAAUAGACUUGUGUCUUAUGAUGUAGUCAAAUUUCUUUAUAUCACUGAUGUGGAGUAAAACUACUGUAUAAUGUUAUUUUAAAGGGGUCAUAUGAUGCGAUUGAAAUUUUUCCUUUCUCUUUGGAGUGUUACAAGCUCUUGGUGCAUAAAGAAGAUCUGUAAAGUUGCAAAGACUGAAGUCUCAAAUCCAAAGAGAUAUUCUUUAUAAAAGUUAAGACUUGUCCACGCCCUCCUAAAACGCCUCGUUUAAACACGCCCCCACAUGUCUACGUCACGAUGUGGGAAGAUUUGCAUAACACCGCCAAAAUGUUCACGCAAAGAAAGAAGGCGUAACUUUUAUUCUCGCAAAGAAAUUUGUGUGCUCAAAGGCUGUUCUAUAAAAUGGGGCAGUUCCAACUUUGCAAGGGCAGUCUGGCACUUCUGAAUUAUCGACUGUAAGUAAGUUUUUUAUAUUUAAUGAAUUUGCCACUGAUGAUUCAAACGUGAGUUUUAAGCAGUGUAGAGUAGCGCUUGUUGUUUGUCGUUUCUCCGAUCACAAAUGCAGAUAUGGUUUUAUGUUUACGUGGCGCAAUACGCAACGGGUAAAAAGACAGUAUAAGUCAUUAUAAUCAGUAAUUAUGUUCCCACUGGAUGCAACAAAUGCCUCGUUUGUAAUUGGUUUUGUCUCGCCGCUCCGGGACAGCAUCACAGUAUGGUAAGGGGCGUAACAUUUCCGUCACACGCUUGAGGUAUUCAGCCAAUCACAAUGCACUGGAUAGCUGGCCAAUCAGAGCACACCUCGCUUUUCAGACCGAUGAGCUUUGUAAAAAUCGAUGCAUUUCAGAAAGGCGGGGCAUAGAGGAGAAACAAUAAUGUGUUUUUUUUAACCUUAAACCACAUAAACACAUUGCAUAAUACAAAUACACAAAAUAAUGUUCUUUUUAGCAACAUCAUAUGACCCCUUUAAAUCCUUUAAAAUUAAGCACUUUGAACAAAUGUGUUGGUCUAAUUGGGACAUGCCUGUUGUAGUAAACAUUAGUGAAAUGUUGAAAUGUUAGACUUCCUUCACUAGAGAUCAAAUAAACAUGAAGUGAAUAUGUUGAGACAUAUAUUUUUGUAGUUUAUGGUUUUAUUGCAACCUAGUAACAAUAAG
ensembl:lncRNA